CCCCGGUAAACGGCGGCCGUAACUAUAACGGUCCUAAGGUAGCGAAAUUCCUUGUCGGGUAAGUUCCGACCUGCACGAAUGGCGUAAUGAUGGCCAGGCUGUCUCCACCCGAGACUCAGUGAAAUUGAACUCGCUGUGAAGAUGCAGUGUACCCGCGGCAAGACGGAAAGACCCCGUGAACCUUUACUAUAGCUUGACACUGAACAUUGAGCCUUGAUGUGUAGGAUAGGUGGGAGGCUUUGAAGUGUGGACGCCAGUCUGCAUGGAGCCGACCUUGAAAUACCACCCUUUAAUGUUUGAUGUUCUAACGUGGACCCGUAAUCCGGGUUGCGGACAGUGUCUGGUGGGUAGUUUGACUGGGGCGGUCUCCUCCUAAAGAGUAACGGAGGAGCACGAAGGUUGGCUAAUCCUGGUCGGACAUCAGGAGGUUAGUGCAAUGGCAUAAGCCAGCUUGACUGCGAGCGUGACGGCGCGAGCAGGUGCGAAAGCAGGUCAUAGUGAUCCGGUGGUUCUGAAUGGAAGGGCCAUCGCUCAACGGAUAAAAGGUACUCCGGGGAUAACAGGCUGAUACCGCCCAAGAGUUCAUAUCGACGGCGGUGUUUGGCACCUCGAUGUCGGCUCAUCACAUCCUGGGGCUGAAGUAGGUCCCAAGGGUAUGGCUGUUCGCCAUUUAAAGUGGUACGCGAGCUGGGUUUAGAACGUCGUGA
rnacentral:rRNA from 2 species